rnacentral:tRNA from 1 species
AAUAUUAUCCUGCACAUAAAAAAUAAAGGUUUAAACCUUUAAUCCAC